CUUUACAGCUAUGACAACACGGCGAGAAGCAAGAAACAGCAGCAAAAACAAUAACUGCACUUACAUACAUAUAAGUAGGUAUAUAUGUAUGUAUAAAAAACCUUCCAACACAGCUGCAUAGCAUACGCAAUAACAAACAACGACUUCAGAAUGUUGCAACAACAACAACAGCGGCAGCAGCAACAACAACAACAACAACAGUAACGGCAACAACACACUUUAUUUGCCAUUUUACGCUUGGCCUGUAGCUGUGUCCCCGGAGUGGUAAACCGACGUGCAACUCACUAAAAGAGUAGAAGUAGAAGAAGAAGAAAGGAGUGGCAAGUGCAUAAAGCAGAGGAGAAGUGCAAUUGAGCCGAGCGAAUGCGGCCAGAGAGACAACACAGUAAACAGUCAAAAAGUAGAAACAAAAAAUAAAUAAAAAAA